GCAGCACAGAUUGGUCGCUUGUGCUUUAUGGGGUGUACAAGGCGGCUGCUCGCGGUUCCCUUCGCCUCAGUGCGGGAGGACUAGACGCCACCGAGCUCCGAACUCGCACCAGGUUUCAGAGCCUCUAGACCAGCUUUCAUGCAUCGCCACAGGCAGGUCAUCAAACCCCAGGUAGAUGAUACUGAGCAUUCUGAUGAGGAAUGGACACCAAGGCAGCAAGCAUGCUUCCCCAAUGGCUUAGCAGAUGAAGAAUCUGCCUUCAGUGCAGGAGGCACAGGAGAUGUUGGUUCAAUCCAUCGGUUAAGAAGAUCCCCUGGAGAAGGGAAUGGCCACCUCCAC